rnacentral:sRNA from 3 species
UCGAAAGACAUUCAUUCAAGAGAUUCUAACGUGAUUAUCGUAAAUAGCUGGAAUUGUAGAUAUUUACAAUGACAUAGAUCAUUUUUCUUCGACGUAAUUACGGCCUAAUGUCGAGACAAGAAUAAUAUGACGCUGAUCUGUGUUUUGACAAGAAUAUGAAUGAUCUUAAGAAAAGGUUUCGCUGAAUCAAUUGGAAGACAGCGUCUUCAAUUGUCCUACUAAAUUCUUUACAGAUGACAUCUGGGUCUGGGGAGAUCAUGCAAAAAAAUAAGACAUCAUUUAUAACUUUCAACCUUCCGCUCACAGGACAAAUUCUCGAAGACGCUACGAAAAGAUGCUGAGCUUGAUCAUAAUUCUUCAGGCUCCCAAUUCAAGAAUACAAUUACUUAGCGUGGGUGCUUCUGCUCAGUCUUCGUUUCCUAUCUCCACAUACCAAUCACUCGUUUGUUACUAAUUCGAAUAAUUUACUGCUGUAAGGAGCCGUACCGCCCACUAAAUCUGAAUAACAAUUUGGCUGCUAGAAGUUAAAAAGUAGGCGCUGCAAUGAUUAUGUGGUAUGAUCAGAUUGUGUCGCAACGCUCAGCGGGGUUUUGGCUCAAUGGGACCGCUGCUAAUAAAACGUUUAACUAGCGAAUUUUGGAACACACCCGUUGACAAAAGUAUAAGGAGUCUCUUUCCGUGAGUUCCCCUCUUCCUCUCACUGCACUUCAACUAUGCCUUAUAGCAACCAAGAAGCUAGAAAAUGCCAACUAUUAAAAAGAUAACCUCUUUGGAAGCAAAUAAAACGGAGAUUAUCUUGGGAUCUAUUUCACAAAUUUACGGCUAAUUGGAAUGAACAGCGCCAAGUAGCACUGGUCAAACUGCAGAGAGUAUUAGAACUUGCUUUAUUCCGUAUAUCGUACUUUAGGUCGUCAGUUUUACCACUUCGGUACGCAAAUGAAAAUAAAAAGCUCAUUCACAACUUAGACACAAUUUCGCCGUUUACAAGUAGCUGAAAAGUCCAAUUAUCGAAUUAUGAAUGAUACUAUUUUAAAUAUAGUCGUUGCUGCACUCGUUUUCCAUGUUCUUUUUAUCCACACAUCCGAUGUUUUACUUACAGUUGAGCAUCUCAGGGCCAGCGACAAAUAUAAACAUAUUAUACUCAAAAUGAAGCUCGUUGAAAAGAGAAUAUUUCUUAACCUCUUUUACAGUGUUUUCAACACCUUUUCAUCUGUGUGCCAUGUCAGAUUAAGGAUGCUCAACUUUUCGAAUUAUUAUUACAAAUUUCAAAGAAAUUACUAGUCCUUUUUGUCCCCUAAUGUAUCCCUCAUUUCAUACCGUCGUUUUGGGGUUCCAACUACGUAUAGCUUUCAAGUGUGGUUUUACGGUAAGAACAACCCCCCAUCGGUUAGUGCGGAAUACUUUCCUAUUCUCAUCGAGAGCCGAGCCAUACACCUAAGGUGGACAGAAAGCUAAAAUUCCAAAACAGAAAAAUCUAACAUCUUUGCUCCCUUACAAGUAGGAACGCUAGCGUAUCAACCCAUCUCCAGAUUUGCCCAGCAUUUCUGUAGAACACCCAAUACGAAUGAAGACUAAUGAAUAUUGUAAAGACAAAAAGUAGGAAAAAUUUAAUUGGUGAUGGUUCUCACCACCCCAAAACGGUCACUUGCAUGCAUUGAGGACAUGCACCUGCAGUACUUGUUUUUCUCGAAUGUUUUUUACCAUCUCUUUUUUCCUUAUCUGAGCUGCUGACGCAGACGGACAUUGUUUCAUAUUUCGAAAGCUGUGCGGGAAAACGGACCCUAACACGAAUGUGAAUGCGCUAAUCAGUAUUUCCACCACACGAAACCUGCUACUUUUUCAGUCCUCUUCGUAUGCAUUUCCCAAAAUUCAUUCGUAGCCUUGUCAACUUAGACUCAGUUCCACGGCGUGCAGGACGGGGUAUUAUGAAUAAAAGGAUCCACGGGUGAGAUUUGUUCUGUGUUUUAGGUAUGGAGUUUUGUACCACAAAACUUUAGGAAUACCGGAUUUUGUGCCUACGCCAGCCCCAGAGUACUCACAGCUGUAAUUCCUAGUGAUCUUUUCCUGGCUCCAAUAGGAACGCCGGUAGGCAAAUUAAACUUUCGCGGCAGGAAAAAAAAGGCUUUUCUUUUUUUUCUUCUGUUUUCUUGACAAGAAUGUCGCCCAAAGAGUUUCGGCCGUUAUUUUCCUAUCGAAGUGGGUCCUUUUUGUCUUUAGUCCUUCUCUGGGGCUAGCGAUCACUGCAAAAUUAGGCUUCACUGGUACGAGUUAACUUUUUUUCUUUUUUUUUGUCAUCCUUUUCUUUGGGGCUAAGAAUGGACUUCCCUUUUCUUUUUCUUUGUUGCAGCAGUGGCUUCAAAGAACUGCUGAUUGCUCAAGGCAAUCAGUCCGAGCGUUUAGAAGGUGAUUGUAGGCAGAAAUUAACUUUGCGGUAAAAGAAUGAUAUUCUUUCUUAAAAGAAAAAUUAGCUUUUUUUGUCAGGCAUUGCAAAACUUUUUUAUUUCUGCCUAUACUCUUAAACAGAUCAGUCAUUCAUGUUGUCUUUUUAACGGUCGUACUGGGACAUCGCAUACCUUGGGAUUCCGUAAUUAGGUGCAACAAUACGGGCACAACUCAUUCUGCGGUAUCUUCACGGACAGAACUUCUAUUGCCUAUCGGUGGUGUGAUUAACAAUUGGAAGCGCAGAGCUUGGAAUGGAUUUUCAAUUCAAUGGAUUUGGAGGUAUUCGUUUGUUUACUAAUAUUUACUUUGAGGACAUUGCCCAACCCUAAAAGUGCCUGUUCAAGAAUAGAAUAACAUUAUGAUACGUUUUCUUGACCGCUGAGCAAUUUAAAGCAACUAUUAGGGUACGAUUGUUUCUAGAGAAAUGUGGGUCAUCUUUUUAGGUCCGUUCUCUUCUGAUGAGGUAACCUUUACAAAAAUGUCAUAGAGUUACCAAUUGGGAUUCAAGGCAUCAUCGCAAUAUACUUCGUUCUUUUACGGAGAAAUUAAGCUCUUUCUACUUUGAAUUGAAUGUUAGACUUGUCUUAUUUGAGAAAUGUCCAUGUUCAAAUUAAAUAAAAAUUUAGGGCAGUUUUAUUUACCUUGACAAAUAUGUUCAAGCAUUUACGU